GACCGAUUAGUCUAUUUUUUUAAGACAUAUAUUUUGAAAAUAUAAAAAAAGAUAAAAUCUUAUCGGUUU
rnacentral:tRNA from 1 species